AUUGAACGCUGGCGGCAUGCCUUACACAUGCAAGUCGAACGGUAACGGGCCUUCGGGUGCCGACGAGUGGCGAACGGGUGAGUAAUACAUCGGAACGUGCCCGAUCGUGGGGGAUAACGAGGCGAAAGCUUUGCUAAUACCGCAUACGAUCUACGGAUGAAAGCAGGGGACCGCAAGGCCUUGCGCGGACGGAGCGGCCGAUGGCAGAUUAGGUAGUUGGUGGGAUAAAAGCUUACCAAGCCGACGAUCUGUAGCUGGUCUGAGAGGAUGAUCAGCCACACUGGGACUGAUACACGGCCCAGACUCCUACGGGAGGCAGCAGUGGGGAAUUUUGGACAAUGGGCGCAAGCCUGAUCCAGCCAUGCCGCGUGCAGGAUGAAGGCCUUCGGGUUGUAAACUGCUUUUGUACGGAACGAAAAGCCUUCUUUUAAUACAGGAGGGUCAUGACGGUACCGUAAGAAUAAGCACCGGCUAACUACGUG
rnacentral:rRNA from 1 species